CCUAUGCCCCCUCCCCCUAUUUUCUUUUGCAGAUACCCAGAUGGAAAAUGCUCCCCCCCCCCAUUAUUUUCACAAUUCAGUGGGAUGACGAAUGACACAGCCAUCCAAGCAGAGAACCAAUGUUCCAUCUCUUUACCUGAGUUCCAAGGGAAGAGACUACGUGGAUAGAAUUCUGUAUCGGCAACUACAGCUGCAUCUUCUUAGAGAUAAUGAAGGACAGUUCUAGAACACAUCACUGAAACUCUUCUCAAUGGAUGCAACCUUGAUAUGGAAGCAAUGGGCACCCUCACACAGUUCAGCUAGAAAG